CCUACGGGGGGCAGCAGUGGGGAAUAUUGGACAAUGGGGGCAACCCUGAUCCAGCCAUGCCGCGUGUGUGAAGAAGGCCCUCGGGUUGUAAAGCACUUUCAGUGAGGAAGAACGCCUGGUGGUUAAUACCCAUCAGGAAAGACAUCACUCACAGAAGAAGCACCGGCUAACUCCGUGCCAGCAGCCGCGGUAAUACGGAGGGUGCGAGCGUUAAUCGGAAUUACUGGGCGUAAAGCGCGCGUAGGUGGCUUGAUAAGCCGGUUGUGAAAGCCCCGGGCUCAACCUGGGAACGGCAUCCGGAACUGUCAAGCUAGAGUGCAGGAGAGGAAGGUAGAAUUCCCGGUGUAGCGGUGAAAUGCGUAGAGAUCGGGAGGAAUACCAGUGGCGAAGGCGGCCUUCUGGACUGACACUGACACUGAGGUGCGAAAGCGUGGGUAGCAAACAGGAUUAGAUACCACAGUAGUC
rnacentral:rRNA from 1 species